ensembl:lncRNA HILPDA-AS1 HILPDA antisense RNA 1
GCUGGUGCUUAGUAACCGACUUUCCUCCGGACUCCUGCACGACCUGCUCCUACAGCCGGCGAUCCACUCCCGGCUGUUCCCCCGGAGGGUCCAGAGGCCUUUCAGAAGGAGAAGGCAGCUCUGUUUCUCUGCAGAGGAGUAGGGUCCUUUCAGCCAUGAAGCAUGUGUUGAACCUCUACCUGUUAGGCAGCAAAUAUGAAGUCUAUGGACCCUGCCUCAGGUUAUUCAAAUAACAUCCUCACCAUUGAUCAAAUGCUCAAGAAAAAGCAGACUUGUAUAGUGGCCGAUGCAACUACUAUUAAACAACAUGUGAAGAGAGCUACUGAUACCUAUAAUUUGGGAAUUGCCCUUGAACACCGAAAAGAAAUGCUAAACCUCUGGCAGAAGAUCCGAGGGGAUUUGAUUGGGAUAGACUCUAGAAAUGAGGCCUUUUAUGACACCUUUUCUACUUAUACAUGGUCCUGGAAUGUUUGCCAAGAAUUACUUUCUCCUAAGGACUUAAGGUUAUAUGAUGCCUAUGUGAAUAGAAAUUCCUCCCAUAACUGCAGAUCCUCUUCCUCAUCAGAUACCAGUGAAUGUGACACAGACUCAGGAAGAAAAAGAAAACAGAAAGGUUUAAAGGGAUUUCAACAAUGAAAUUUCUACAUUUUCUAAACAGCUCA